GGUCGAAUGAUCAGAUUGUUCAAACCGGUAACCGGGCCCCUGACCGUUUCGUUUUUAAAAACCAUGAUUGUUAACAUCUGGUUGAGCGCAAUUAGCUGCUUUAUCUUUCCUUUUCUCAUCCAUAAGAGAAGUAUUGUCUAUAUUUCCAGAAAUUAGAUCAAACGAACUUGGCCCUUUAAUUGAAGUCUCACUAACAGACGACCUUAGGUCAGCUAUAGUGCCCCGUACGUCCUUAUUGACCAGCAUUCUCUACACAAGGUUGUUCAUCCUUGACCUACAAAGAAGGAUCAUAUUGAAAAGGAUAAUUUCAAUUCAUGAAGUCACAUUAAGUUACGAAAAAAAAUCUAGCGUCAUUCAUUAUUACCUUAAAUGGUGGAGUUGCGAGCAUUGGCUCUCUAGGAAGUAAACCCAUGUAGCAACUGACAUAAAAAACCAUGACUAAAAUUUCAUAUAUAACCACGGUCAUGUGGCCAUGGCUAAAUAGCAGUUUUUCCGCGGCUAAAAGCAUUAUAUAGCUACGGAUUUAGUUAUUUGUGGCUACAAAUAGAUGCUACCUUUUCACUAAGGUCGCUUUGUCCGUGGCUAAAGGCAUUUUUGGUAUUGUUAAAAACGCUUUUCAUAUGCCCGCGCGGUAUUCUUUUAGUUUCGAAACUCUCUUCUAUUCUUUGAUCUUCUUUGUUCUUUCUCUUCUCCUCUUUGUUCUUCAACCUCGUUUCUUAUCUACUUGCUAUAACUCACAAAACCCUCAUCUUCUCUUUCAUUUCUUAUUUGCGCACAAAUAACCAGCUGGUUCUGAGUGUUGCUAUAGGAACAAUCUAUCGACUGUUUCAGACGCAAGAACUGGCUUGGGUGCCAAAGUUUGCAGCUUCGUUGGCUCAACUCUAAUGCCAAAGGUGUGCAACUUCGUUAGAUCAGAAAAUUGAGGAGGCUGCAAAAAAGGGUAAACAAACUAAACUUGUUCUACCGGUGUUGCGGAAUCGCCUUGAUCUUGCUCAACAUGAUGUGAGUCUUCCUUUUCUUCUUUCUUUCUUAACUUGUUUACUGUAUACAUCUCUAUCCAUUUGAAAAUUAUUACACUUUUCUUGUUCUUGCAUGACUUCUUGUUCUUUAUUUAGGGAUCAUUCUUUCAUUUCCCUUAUUGAGCUUGUUGCUCAUAAUUUAAUUAUUGAUUGUAAAUAUGGAUUAAGUGCAAAUGUUGGACAUUGAAACACCUAGUAGCAGUUUCACUCCUCUUUCUUAAUUGGUAACAGAACAAAUUCAUUGGUAUCUGAAAACAUAAUUAGUUAUCUUUUUUUCUGACAGGGAUAAUCCUUGGCAUCAGACUUUGUGAACACAGAGGUAGCAUAAUUAUUUCCUAUUAUACAUGUGGACACAGGGAUAAUCCUUCAAGCUUUGUGGACAUAGACUUUGUGUCCAUAAUCUGCAGUUACACAUACACAUACACUGGGACUGAUGGACUUGGCAUCAGUCCAUCAACUCUUCGGUUACACAUAAUCCCUGUUAUAUAUUUACAAUAGGGAUAAACCAUCAAGCUAUUCAAACUUUGUGAACAUAGACUUAUUAGAAUUAUUUUCCCUGUUUUGAAAAGGUAAAAUAUGGUAUUUCUGUAGAAAUUUGUGGAUACAGAGUUCUGCUGUUAAUUCUACCAAAACAAGGGUUUUGACAUGUGAACACAAAGACAAAAAUCUAUUAUAAGCUAUAUCUCUGAACUCUUUGGGUUCUGACAAGUGCCAACCAAGAGCAAAGCUUUCCUUUCAAUGGAGAUCAAAGUCCCUAGACUGUCAUUUUUUCACAAUGAUAGUUCCUAGCUAGGGCCCUCACCUUUUGCACACAAUAUGUCAGUACUGCCAAGUCCCUUUCAAUUAUGAAGCCCCUACGGUUUUCCUUAUAUAGUUAUGGCUUUCCUCAAUAGUUAUGGCUUUCCUCAAUCUAAGUCUUUGGCAUACAGCCAGCAAAUUCUCACUUUUGAGCCGCACCUGCCAAGAAUUCCUCUUAGUCCUUGGGAAUGUGAGGUUCCUAUCUACACUCCAUCAUAUCCCUUCUUUAAAUACAGUGGUGGCCUUUACAUCCUAGAGUUAAUUCAUUGUUAUCAUUUGGUCUUGAAUUCUAAUGCCCUCACUUUCACAUAUUUUGUUACUAAAUUUGCAUUACAGGUAUUCUGCUUUAGUUCUACUUAUCUUAAGAUCCUUUAGAUCCUUGGACAUCUUUCCACAAUCCCAGCUUUGUUUUCCUUUUGUCAUCUAUUCAGUCUAGAUAAUCUCAUCAACAAGCAUAAGUUGUGAAGCCUUCACUUGCAAAUGCUAAGCUAAUUCAUGGUUAAUGUAAACAAUAUGAGCCAAGGGCAGACCCACAUUUCUCAAUAUAAAGCAUCCGAUCUUUUGUUGUACCAAAUGAUUUUUCUCUGACCAAACCAGCCUGCAUGGAGAAGAAAGAAGUGAAUAAGAUUAACUUUACUGGUUUUGACAGCAUGACAUAAACACAAGUUCCCAAGACAAUGCUAGUUCCUUAAUGGAAAAUAAAUCCUCCAUGGGACAGGUUCAAAUCUGUUGAGUUGCAGGUUAAAUCUUAUAUGCUCUCUGUUGCAAACAAAUGGGCCUUUUUUGAAUCCUUUCCUGUCAAUGUGGUUGGUCUGUCACACUCAUGGCACCUUCUGAGAUUGGGUUGUGACAUCAAAAUUCCAUUCUACCCAAACUUGUCUCAAUUCUUCCUCUUUAAGAACAAAAAACAAAUCCCCAUAUAUUCCGAUUGAACUUUGAUAGAGUAAAAAAUUUGGUUGUCUAAUUAUGAAUGGGUGUAAGCAAUGCAAGGCCAAGUAUCCUUUCUGGGUAUGUCAAUGCCUCUAGGAGCCAGGACAAGGGACAUUUCAUCACCCUAUGCAACUAUUACACCAGCAUAGCUGAUUGAAGCCAAGGGACCACUGCCUUGCUAGCCCCCCGUCUUGAGGUUCCAACACCAACAAUCAAUCACAUUUAUGACCACACGUCUGGUACAUCAUUAAUGUUUCCCGUUGUUGUGGGUAUGAGCAGGCUUGUGGGGACAAAUCUGGAUGGGGAUUAGACAGUGGAUUUUGGUAGUGGCACAAGUAUUUGGUAAAACAUUAAGUUUAUUUCAAUUGUGACAAGUUUGAUCAAUCUCAGCAAGUUAACAUUUCAUCAUUUUUAUUCCUGAUCCAUGUGGCCAUUGUUCUAAAUUAGUUUUCCUUAUCUUGUUGCAGUUUGGGGCCAGCCAAGGUUCUUUUGGAUGCAUUAUUUAUUCAUUUUGUUUGUAUUUUUAUCAUUUCUUGUUUUUCCCACUCAUCCAUCUUAUCAGUUAUCAUCWCCAUCAUGGGUGUGUGAAUUUCAGGCUAGCAUGAAACUAUAAAACCUAUAGUGGCCUAGACUUAGCAAGAGUGGUCUAGUCUAAUCUGCAAAAGUGAACUACUCUUAAUGCAUGCAUGAUCUGGCAAAACACCCCAUGGAGUCUAGUUAAAAAAUUGAGCCACAUUAUACAAACACCUUUGAAACUGGCCCUUGUAUAUCCAUAUUCUCAUCCACAAGAAAAAUGGUUUCUCCUUAACCUGCUGAAAAUUGGAAACUUCAUGCGCACCAAAAUGGUUAUAAAGCACUUGGGCAGAAUACCAACUGAUUAAGAUAUUGCAGAUUGGAUGUACAUUUACAGAGGAAGGAAAUAAUAUAGCUAAUCUCCAGCAAAGAUAAAGUUCAAUAAUUAGCUUGAACAAAUGACAAUUGGUUAGAAUUAAGCAAGGGCUACCAGUGCAACAGGUUAUGUGGGCCAAGACUAAAACAAAUGCUAAAUGAAAUGAUUGUUUCUGAAUAAGAGUAUGAGACCUGGAUACUUGCUUAAUGAGGGAAAAUGUACAAUAGGAAUCUUAAGUGAUUUGUAUAGUUCAAGCUUUCAGGUGAUAUGUUUGUAGAAUGGCAGCCUAGUGCCUUGUUGUCAACAUUACUUAGGCGAUCCAGGGGCCUAAGGUGUUAGAGGAGUUAUUAGGGGUCUGAUCCUUGUUUUUCUUUUUCUUUUUUUUUUUUUCUUUGUACACCCACUUGUGUACCCUCUCUUUUAUUAAUGAAAUCAGUUAACUUUUUUUCAAAAAAAAACGACUAUUCAACUUGCUCAAAUAAAAAUGUGAAAAAUAUGAAAAGUAAAAAAACAAUUUAUAUCAAAAUAAACUAAAACCAAUAAAUGUUGAAGGGUAUAUGACACAUGUGAUCCCAAUGCAAAUGAGGAAUUAAACUUGAACAAGUUGACAUUUAUAAGAACUGAGAAACAAUAAAAAAAAAAAACCAUUCUACUUGUGCUUUCUGGUUCUAGAGGUCAGACCAUCUAGUCUGAUCUAAAGAGCAAUUGCUAACCUCUUUGGUUGUUGAUAACUGCAAUGGCAGAUUUGGGUUCAACUAGGGCAUGUUCAGACACCAGGGGUCCCUCCAAAAUUUAACCUUGUCAUCUCUGCCCACUUUGAACUCCUCCACUAGGAGGUUCUUUCAGUAGCAAAUCUCCAGCACCACUUGCUAAGCAAGGCAGUAUUUAUCACCUUCAGCUUCCUCUAGACCCCCUUCCUUUCUAGGUAAGCAAACUUGGUCCCAAUUCACAAGAUGAAUUUUCUUCUCUUACCAACCAGAAGUUGUUUGUGUGGCAACUGAAGGCUAUGGACCGUGUAGUCAUUGACGAAACAUUCAAAUGUGUAAGAUAAGUGCUGCAAUAAUGGUGCUUUGCUGUAUCAAUAUUAAAAUGAGCUUGUCUCUUUGCCUAUAAAAAAAAAGAAAAAAGAAAAAAAGCUCCCAGGGGUCCUAAGGAAGUGCAACAAAAGAAAAACCAGAUAGAAAAGGGAAGAGGGUGGAACCUAGGGACAACUGGAAGAACUGUUCUAUGAUGAAAAUUUGAGUUCUCCGGUUAGAAAAUCUCCACUGGCUUUCUUCAAAGCUACUUGCCUUGAUCAAAAGAAACUCGUACUACUUGGGUGGAGUGAAUUUAUUUUGACACAUUAUGAUAUCUUGAAGGCUUGACCCAUAAAUUCUUGUAAUUAUAUAAGCAGUAUAUCCAUUUUGCAUUAUAGUGAUUUAUGGCUUGGAGCCCUCACCCCCAAGGUAUUUUUACAGUCAUGUUCUUAGAUAUGCAUAAUUGCAAAAAAAAAAAUCCUAAGCCUCGUCUCAAUUUUGAUCUCAAUCCUUACAUUUGUCAUUUGUUUAACAUUAGGCUUGUAAAGUAGGCAAGUUUAUAUUGCAUAAUUAAUUAAAUUUUCAUACAUGAUUUUAUAUCCCCAAAAAUGUGAUUUCUAACUUAUUUUCUAUUAUUUUCUUAUAGGUUGAACAUGGUAAAGGAGGAUACUUCGCAGAGACAUUUGAUCAAAUUUUACACACCAAGUUUUUUUUUUUGGUUUGAGUUUCAUGUAUUCAAGAACCUUGAAUUUGUAGCAAGCACAUGGAUGUUAAAGCACCUUGAGAUAUAAUUCAUUUGUUUAUUAUAUAAUCUUUUAAUGAAAUUUUAAAUUCAAGUUUCAUCUUAUAUUAUGAAUUAGUUGUGCUUGUAUUCAAUACAGGAAACAAGGCUUCAAAAAAUAAUGAAAAAAUUUUAGGAUCUAGUCAUUAACCAAAGAGUAGUUAUAGGUUUAUAUUUUUAGCUACAGUCAAUGUAAACCGUAGCUAUAGAUUUAUUUUUUCUAGCUACCAACAAUUCACAUCCGUAGCUAUAGAUUGUUGUUCUUUUGCUACUGACAACAUGAACCGUAGCUAUAGGUUAAUUUUUUUUAGCUACGGUCAGUUAAUAUCCAUAGUUAUAGAUUGAUAUUCUUUUGCUACGACUAUUUAAAUCAUAGCUAUAAAUCCAAAUUUUGUAGCUACGGACAUCACAAACUGUAGCUAGAAAGUCAGUUUGUAGCUACGGAUAACUUAAAAACCAUAGCUACAAAUGCAUAUAUAAUUAUUUAGAUUAGGCUUUAGCCACAGACAAACCGUAGUUAUAGGUUAGUUCUAGCUACAGAUUCGUUCAGCCGUAGCUAUUGCCUAUAGCCACCGCGACUGUAGCUACUGUUUCUUGACCGUAGCCAGCCCGUAGCUAUAGACCUAUAGCUACGGAUUUGGCUGUAGCUAUAGGCCUAUUUUCUUGUAGUGUUAGGAACUUCCUUAGGUUUUAUAAGUCUUUCAAUGGUAGCACUUUCUCUUUUAUCAAGUGACGCCCUAGGACCACACUUAAAGCAUUUCUAACAUCUGUCUUGAUCCCCAUCAUUACCAUCAUCCAAUUCAUUAAAAUAUGCUAUGUAUUCCAUAUUAUCAUCUAUCGCUCCAAUGACAUCCCUCUUAUCAUUAGCAAGUUCAGAUCAAUGCCUGUCAUGGGAAAUGAAGUGGAGUUUGUUGACCAUCCCUAUUUGUAAUAUGUGUUUCAUUGGCACUCUCAUUAGCCUCAUUUCUAAUGAAAUUUCCUUAUUUGGAAUUAGGCUUGCAAAUUCUAGCCUUUUUGUAGUCAAAAUUGUUAAGGAAGUCAAAAAUUAGGGUCGACACUCUCAGAAAGGGUCUAAACUCUUAGGGCAAAGUAAUCACGGGGUUUUGUUAAGCCACCAUUUGCAAUAGUACCUCAUAGUGAGAGGACCCUCCUUAAGGUAAGAGCAUGCAACAACUAUCACCUCCUUCAUAUUAUAUUUAAGGUAAGACCCCUAGAGCCCAAGUGCUUGUUUCAAGUCACAUGAGCACAAAUCCUCAAUAAUCUUUUUGGGAACAUCUUGAGUGUACCCAAAUUAUUUGGUAAACCUAUGAGGACUAUAUGGCUCUACUACGUAUGAGUUCUUACACCAGAAGGUGAGAUAACUUGACUUGAGACUAAUCAAGUAUUCAAGAUAAUACCCAUGAAGCUAUUGAUUAUCUUUGUGCAAUGCCAAGCAAUGUAUUUGUCAAGUCUAAAUAAGGCACGUGCAUCCAAUUCAUUAAAAUGUUUUGCCAUCCCUUCCCCAGCAAAUUUAGUCAUAUGAGGGGUGCUUGAAUAAGGAGACUCAUAGUAGGCCCUAAAGUACUCUCCAACUAUUUAUACACAUAAUGAAUAGGAAAAGCAGCUCUACAUCCACCUGGGUCUAUAGAGGAGGUAACUUUAUUCAUUCCUCUAUAAAUACUAGAAAGAACAUGAACAAAAAGGAAAAAUGGGUGCCACACAACAUCAUGCCAGCAGUGUUGAAUAUCCCUAGUCGAACAAAAGGCAUCAUUGUGAGGAAGAAUAAAUGAAUAUAACCAACAAGAAAGGAAUGCAACUAAAUAGACCUCCUCUUUGAUCUCGUCAUCAACCCUUAAAUCGUCAAAGACUUAUUCUUCCUCCGAUGAUCGUUUGGAGGGAGGGUCAUUUUUCCCAAGAGAUUAUAGGUUAUCUCUGCCUACCUUUCUCUCUUUGCAUUCCUGGAGGGUGGCUUUCUAUACCUAAACGGACCCUUAAACCCAUACUUCACCCAAUUUGUUAUGCUCACAACAUAUUCACCACCGGCUUUCUCUUUUAGAUGAUGAAAUGCAAGGAAAAAGUACUUACAACUCUUAAGGAAUCAAGACCUCCCCUAAGAACCACCUAAUCAUAAAAAUAACCCCUAAUGGGAAGUUCACCAAUCAUAUGCAAAUCCCAAAGUGAAAUGGAUAACUCUCCUAAAGGAGUGUGAUGGGUGUUUGUGGUAGAGCACCGUGAUUCA